CAGUAGCCGCGGGAAUACGUAGGUGGCAAGCGUUGUCCGGAAUUAUUGGGCGUAAAGGGCGCGUAGGCGGACUGAUAAGUCAGGGGUGAAAUCCCAAGGCUCAACCUUGGAACUGCCUUUGAUACUGUUUGUCUUGAGUUCGAGAGAGGUAAGUGGAACUGCGAGUGUAGAGGUGAAAUUCGUAGAUAUUCGCAAGAACACCAGUGGCGAAGGCGGCUUACUGGCUCGAAACUGACGCUGAGGCGCGAAAGCGUGGGGAGCAAGCAGGAUUAGAUACCCCGGUAGUCCCUGUCUCUUAUAU
rnacentral:rRNA from 1 species